CAGUUGGCGGCCUCGGGCUUCAAACCUGGGAAGCGG
rnacentral:tRNA from 1 species